GUUAAAACUCUUCUUCACCCCUACUAUUCUCUUGAUCAAAGGCACGCUGACUGAGAACGGAUAUGGGAGAUCCCGAUCAUCUUGAGAAAAUGGGAAGAGAACUCAAGUGUCCGAUUUGCUUGAGUCUGUUAGAUUCUGCUGUUUCACUUACAUGCAAUCACGUAUUCUGCAAUGCGUGCAUCAUGAAAUCCAUGAAAACUUGGUUCUAAUUGUCCGGUUUGUAAAGUCCCAUAUCAUCGAAGA